UACGAAGGGGGCUAGCGUUGUUAGGAUUUACUGGGCGUAAAGCGCAUGUAGGCGGGUCGUUAAGUUGGGGGUGAAAUCCCGAGGCUCAACCUCGGAACUGCCUUCAAAACUGGCGACCUGGUGCAAGAUAGAGGCAAGUGGAAUUUCGAGUGUAGAGGUGAAAUUCGUAGAUAUUCGCAGGAACACCAGUGGCGAAGGCGACUUGCUGGUUCUUUGCUGACGCUGAGAUGCGAAAGCGUGGGGAGCAAACAGG
rnacentral:rRNA from 1 species